rnacentral:tRNA from 1 species
GCCCGAAUAGCUCAGCCGGUUAGAGCACUUGACUGUUAAUCAGGGGGUCGUUGGGUCGAGUCCAACUUCGGGCGCCA